ensembl:lncRNA
UAUCUAAUAUUAUUAUUUUUUGUAUUAAUAACAACAACUUCAAAUUGUACAGUGCUUUGUAAACAGUUUUGUUUUUCCCCCUUUACAGGCCACAUAGAUGCCAACAAUACUAUCGUGACUGUGUGUGUUGUGGUUGCCAUCAUCAUAAUCCUCGUUGUAGGUUAUAUUCAUCAUCGAACGAAACAAAAAAAUACCAGAGAAACCAUUGAAAACACAGUGUAUGCAGUUCCUGAGGAGGAAUAUUUAGUUGGCAGAAGGAAGCCUAGGGUGCUGGCAGGCGGGCAGGGAGACUGUGGAGAGGAGAGACAGAGAAACUAUUAAGAGCACUGAAACAAACAGGUGCUGGAUGGCUCAAAUAGGAAAACUGCACCCAUGGGUGGAUCACCAGCACAAAGCCAAACUAACAAUUCCACUUGAAACUUAAAAGUUAAACAGAGAGGAAAGAAAAAGAAAACAGGCCUCAAAUCCAACCCAGCUCUACUAUAACAGCAUUUCACCUUUAAGGCAGCUGUAGACAGUUUUCCAUAAAAGAACAGGCAAUGCAGUAUGGGAGCAUGGACUUUGGCAGCAGGUAGUUUUAAAAGAACAGCAGUUGCAUUGGAGUAUUAUUUGCUGGGGUCCUCUGGUUGGCAGUCUUUGAUAGGGCCAACUUGAUCUGUCUCCAGACCAGCAGCAGCAGAGGUGGACAGAGACAACUGUUACUUCAACAGAAGGUUGACAUCGAAGUAAAAAAUGAAAGGAAGAGAGACCAGCUGCACCAGAAGUUAGAGCAUUGUGUGCAUAUUCUAUCCAUGUGUAAGUGGUACACCAAAAUUAAAGUUUAUGUAAUAAAUUGAUGUGACUUUCCCCACGUAGCAAGUCAACUUGGCAGUGUGGGCCCAAUGGAUAACCCAUAAGUGCUAUCUUCCCAGCUGCAUGGUUUCUGAUGUAGUAAUUCCUUUCUGUGAAAGACAGACAAUGGGAGAAAAAGGCACAAUGAUGGAGUUUAGUUUCAGAGCCAAAUUUCCUCAACCACAAAUUGCUUGUGUAGGUCUGGU